rnacentral:lncRNA from 1 species
AUGAGAACAGCUGCUGCCGGCUCUGAGCCCACGGCACGUGGGCUUUCUGGGUGCAGCGCGGGGCGGCCUGCUUCGAGUGUCCCGUUGUCCCCCCGUCCCACACGGCCGCCUCUCCCGAGCCCUCUUUUCUCUCUUUCCUUUUCAGCCGGAGAAGAUACACAAAAGAACGGCGUAGUGCUUUCCAAGCAAAGCACAGCGCACUCAGGAGACGCACACGCCAGCAGGAGGCCGCACCCAUGGCAGGUGGAAGCUCCCGGGUCGGGGGCUGAACCCAUGCACAGCAGGGACAACCGUAUUUUGGAAAAGGACAGCAUCCUUUCCUAGGCUGCCCAGAUGCCACAGGUGGUUCUCCAGGCUGCGUCUGACCUGCACGUCCUGAAUUUCGUGGUGUUGUCCUGAGUCGGAGGGACGUUUUACAGGUAGGAGCCCAGCUGUGACGUGCCGGCUGCUCCCUGUGGCGACGUACUUCUGCCAGCAGCCCUGUCUUCCGGUGAGUGACCCAGGGGCCGUCCUGCUGCUGGAUCGGCAUCCGGGGGCGUCCACACCGCCAAGGGGAGACUGGGCCCAUGGGGACAGGAGGGCGGGCGGGCUUGGCCACCUGUCCAGACAGGAUUCUCUUCGAAAGCCUGGACAUGCAGGGUCUCUGCGUUCACCUGCACAUAGUAGGCCUUCUCUGACUUGCCGCUGCCGCCCUGUUCCAGGUAAUAAGAGCCUUUGCCUUAAGGGGAAACAGGUCCUAUUUUCCCUCCUUCGCGGCACCCUCCUAAGCGUGAAUGAGUGACUCAAGCAGCUCACACAGUCUGAGGACCUUUCCAGUGGUCAGGCCGGAGUCUCGAUGCUAUAGCUGCUUAAAUUUUCUUAAAGACCGAUUCUUGGGAUUUUAGCUAGCUGCCGAUUUUUCUCAAACAUUUUCUUUUUUAGAGCAAUUUUAGGUUCAUGGUGAAACUGAAGGGAGGUGCAGAGGUUUCCCAUAUGCCCCUGCCCCCCAGCCUCCCCACCAUCAACGACCCCACCGGAUGGGGCGUCUGUGACAACGGAGGAGCUCCCUGGACGCGUCCUCGUCCCUGCAGUGCGUGGUCUGCGCUGUGCUCCCCUCCCAGUGCUGAGCGUCCUGUGGUUUGGACAAACAUGCACUGACAGGCACCCCCCGCGUCACAUGGAGUCGUCUUGUGGCCCACGAAUCCUCUGAGCUCUGCCUGGUCACCUCUCCCUCCCUGCUACCUGCUGGAGACCCUGGGCUUUUCCUGCCUCCAUAGUUUUUCUGUAAUGUCACAGUGUGGGAGCCACACUCUGGAGCCGGGGGUUCUCUCACUUAGCAGUGGCAUUCAAGCUCCUAUGUGCUUUUCUAUGACCUGAUAGCUCGAUUCUUUUUAGCGCUGAAUGAUAUUCCGUCAUCUGGGUGGACCACAAUUUAUUUAUCCAUCACCUCCUGGAGGACAUCUUGGCUGCUUCCACGUUUUGGCAGUUUAGGAAUGAAGUUCCUGUAAAUGUUCACACAGGGUUUUGUGUAGAUGGAAGUUUUCACCUCCUUUGGGGCAAUACCAGGGGGUUGAUGCCUGGGUCCAAGAUGAGACUCCUGUGAGUUGCACUGGAAACUGCCAGACUGUCUUCCAGGGGGCUGGGCCCCGCUUCGUUCCCACCAGCAGUGAAGGAGGGCUCCUCUCACCCUGUAUCCUCACCGGCGUCUGCGUCUCGGUGAUCCGGAUUCUGGCCCCCCUAACGGGUGCGGUGGUGUCUCACGGUCAUUGUGACGUGCCUUUCCCUGACGACGGCGGAGGUGGAGCCUCUCUUCAUGUGCUCGUUGCACGUCUGCAUCUCGUCUUUGAUGAGGUGUCUGUUAAGUUGUUUGGCCCAUGUGUUAAUUGGCUUGUUUUCUUUUUCAGAGUUUUUUGUAUAUUUUGGAUAAUAGUCCUUUUUGCAAAGAUUUUUCUCCCAGUCUAUGGCUGUCUUCCCGUUUUGUUGACACUGUCUUUCACGGAGCAGAAAUUCUUAGUUUUAAUGAAAGCCGGCUUCUCACCUGUGUCUUUUAUAGAUCAUCUAGGUUUUCUCUUAUCUUUUGGGAGGUUUAUAAUUUUCAUUUUGCAUCUAGGUCUGUGAUCCUUUUUGAGUUCAUUUUUGUAAAGACGGAAGGCUGUGUCUAGAUGCACUUUUUUGCACGUGGACAACCAGUUGUUCAGCAUGUUUGUUGAAAAGACCGUCUUUGCUCCAUUGUGUUGUCUUUGCUCCUUUGUCAGAGAUCAGUUGCCUGUAUGUACACGGGUCUAUUUCUGGGCUCUCCACUCUGCUCCAUUGAUCACUUGAGCUUCUUUCACCAACGCCACACCGUCUUGAUGACUGUCGCUUUAGGGGAAGUCUUGAGGUUGGGUCGUGUCAGCUCUCCAACUUUGUUCUCUUUCGAUACUGUGCCCACUAAUGCUUUUUUAGAAACUUACUUUUGAAAUGAAAUGAACUGAGAUACAGAGAAAUACAACUUUGAAUCAUAAGAGACCAACAGUACCCUGGGCAUUUUAAUUUCAGGAGUAUUUUCCUGGAACUCAUUCCAGAAAUAGACAAAGAAAGGGGGGAAAGCUAAGGAAGGAUUUAUGUGCAUUUUUUCCCUCCUUGGUAAGUCCUGUGUUUCAACUCCCACUUGUCACACUGAACCACAUUAUCUGAUACUGAUACUUGAAAAUCAAGAAUCAUGCAUUCACAUAUAAAUGCAAAGUUAUUUUCUUAGAAAUUCAAGGAGCAAAUCAGCUGUCAAUAAGCUUUUAGAAGGAGAGUCAAGGAUUGCUAAGAAUGUGCGUAUGAGAGAGCCUUUCUAGUAAUAUUUGAGACCCUUUUUGCAACACCUGUUCUAAACUAAAUAAAACAUUGUAUGAAGCCUCUGGAGCA